rnacentral:rRNA from 1 species
AGUGAACGCUGGCGGCGUGCUUAACACAUGCAAGUCGAACGAGAACGGGUUACAGCUUGCUAUAAUUGUCAGCUAAGUGGCGCACGGGUGAGUAAUGUAUAGGUAAUAUGCCUCUUACUAAGGGAUAACAAAUGGAAACGUUUGCUAAUACCUUAUACUCCUUAUUAACAAAAGUUAAUAAGGGAAAGAUUUAUUGGUAAGAGAUUAGCCUGUAUUGUAUCAGUUAGUUGGUGGGGUAAUGGCUUACCAAGACUAUGACACAUAACUGGUUUGAGAGGAUGAUCAGUCACACGGGAACUGAGACACGGUCCAGACUCCUACGGGAGGCAGCAGUGGGGAAUAUUGCACAAUGGACGAAAGUCUGAUGCAGCAACGCCGCGUGGAGGAUGACACAUUUCGGUGCGUAAACUCCUUUUAUAUGAGAAGAUAAUGACGGUAUUAUAUGAGUAAGCACCGGCUAACUCCGUGCCAGCCGCCGCGGUAA